GACAUGGGGGCACCUGAUCAUCCAUUCCGCGUGAGUGAAGAAGGCCUUCGGGUUGUAAAGCUCUUUCGCAAGGGAAGAAAACUUAUGAUCGAAUAAAUCAUGAGGUUGACGGUACCUUGAUAAGAAGCACCGGCUAACUACGUGCCAGCAGCCGCGGUAAUACGUAGGGUGCGAGCGUUAAUCGGAAUUACUGGGCGUAAAGCGUGCGCAGGCGGUUUUGUAAGUCGGAUGUGAAAUCCCCGGGCUCAACCUGGGAACUGCGUUCGAAACUGCAAGGCUAGAGUGUGUCAGAGGGGGGUAGAAUUCCACGUGUAGCAGUGAAAUGCGUAGAGAUGUGGAGGAAUACCAAUGGCGAAGGCAGCCCCCUGGGAUAACACUGACGCUCAUGCACGAAAGCGUGGGGAGCAAACAGGAUUAGAUACCCUGGUAGUCCACGCCCUAAACGAUGUCAACUAGUUGUUGGUAGAGUAAAAUCUAUGAGUAACGUAGCUAACGCGUGAAGUUGACCGCCUGGGGAGUACGGUCGCAAGAUUAAAACUCAAAGGAAUUGACGGNA
rnacentral:rRNA from 1 species